rnacentral:rRNA from 1 species
AGUGAACGCUGGCGGUAGGCCUAACACAUGCAAGUCGAACGGCAGCACAGUAAGAGCUUGCUCUUACGGGUGGCGAGUGGCGGACGGGUGAGGAAUACAUCGGAAUCUACUUUUUCGUGGGGGAUAACGUAGGGAAACUUACGCUAAUACCGCAUACGACCUACGGGUGAAAGCAGGGGAUCUUCGGACCUUGCGCGAUUGAAUGAGCCGAUGUCGGAUUAGCUAGUUGGCGGGGUAAAGGCCCACCAAGGCGACGAUCCGUAGCUGGUCUGAGAGGAUGGUCAGCCACACUGGAACUGAGACACGGUCCAGACUCCUACGGGAGGCAGCAGUGGGGAAUAUUGGACAAUGGGCGCAAGCCUGAUCCAGCCAUACCGCGUGGGUGAAGAAGGCCUUCGGGUUGUAAAGCCCUUUUGUUGGGAAAGAAAAGCAGCAGGUUAAUACCCCGCUGUUCUGACGGUACCCAAAGAGUAAGCACCGGCUAACUUCGUG